AUGGCAGGCGGCUCUAGGGGCGGCUUCCCCGCCUGGAUGACCGCCGCCGCCGCGCGCAUCGACCUCUCCGGCGGCGCCGCCGCCACGUCCGGCUCGCAGCCUCCCCAACCCGCCCCUCCGGCCGCGGUGGUGGCCGACCAGGAGCUCGGGAUGGCCGAACGCGCCCUCUCCGCCGCAAGCGCCGCCUUCAUCUCCGCCAUCAUCGUUAACCCUCUCGACGUCGCCAAGACGAGGUUGCAGGCGCAGGCGGCGGGGGUGCCUUACUACCAAGCACCCCAGAUGGCGGCGCUCGGCCCGGAUGCGAUACUGUCUGAGUUGCGAUGCUCUCCAUCAUGCACACGUGGUAUUGUUUUGGGAAGUGAACCUAUUUGCCCACCUGAUUGCUUUCAGUACAAGGGAACAGUUGAUGUAUUCUUGAAAGUUGUUAGACAGGAAGGAUUUGGUAGAUUAUGGAGAGGUACAAAUGCUGGCUUGGCAUUAGCUAUACCAACUGUUGGAAUAUAUUUGCCUUGCUAUGACAUAUUCCGCAACAAGAUUGAAGAUUUUACAAGAAGCAAUGCUCCUGGGUUGACACCAUAUGCCCCACUAGUAGCAGGAUCAGUUGCACGUUCACUCGCAUGCAUUGCUUGUUCCCCAAUUGAAUUGGCAAGGACACGGAUGCAGGCGUAUAAGGAAUUUCAGCCUGGAGUAAAGCCUCCUGGAAUGUGGAAAACAUUGCUUGGUGUUCUUUCACCACAUGCAAGUUCAAGUCAGAAUGCAGUGCAAAACUAUCGUGUUCUAUGGACGGGUGUGGGGGCACAGCUUGCUCGGGAUGUUCCAUUCUCUGCUAUAUGCUGGUCAACGCUGGAGCCGAUUCGAAGAAAGCUGCUUGGUCUUGUUGCAGAGGACGGUGACGCAGCUAGUGUGUUGGGAGCGAACUUUGCUGCUGGCUUUGUAGCAGGUAGUCUUGCUGCUGGUGUUACAUGCCCUCUUGAUGUUGCCAAGACAAGGAGACAGAUAGAGAAGGAUGCCCAGAAGGCAAUGAGAAUGACCACGAGGCAAACAUUAGUUGAUAUAUUGAGGUCUGAAGGUCCAAAAGGCUUGUUCACUGGUGUUGGUCCACGCGUCGCUCGUGCUGGACCAUCAGUUGGUAUUGUCAUUUCCUUUUACGAGGUCGUCAAGUAUGCUCUUCACCAAAGGAACAUGUCAUGA
rnacentral:rRNA from 1 species